GUUUUAAUCUUUCCUCUGUGCUGAUUGGAGUUGUUGUGGGUUCGGUGGUCGUGUUGUUGUGCACCAUUACAUGUUUCUGUGUACGAAAAGAAAAUGGGAAACUUUCACACUCUACACAAGUAGGUGCUAAGAGAAGUGAUCAAACUACCAAUGAAGUCGUUCCACAGGAGAAUCAAGACGACUCUGUUCAUGUCACGAUGUCAUCUGCUGGAAACGCCACAGCAAACCAAGAAUCCAUCAUUUAUUCCUCCAUUGACUUCACAAACUUUAAACCACGAGAGAUCGGGAGCGUCUCCUCACUUCAUGCUGUCUACAGUAUGGUCCAGGAUUGUUCUGGUGGGCUGGUAAAGACUAAGAGCUCAAUGGGAGAGCCUUCAAGAGAAAGAGAAGCACAGGUGAUUGUGAGUGCAGAUGUGCUUACUGAACAAACAGAGUCAAAGAACUCAGAGGAAGAGCUGUUUGCAGACUCCUCUGAGCUUUAUGCAAAGAUUAAACACUGUAACCCUUAAAGUUUUAGUUCAUCCAGAAAUCAAAAUUAGCCCAUAAAUUACUCACCUUUAAAUCAUUCUAAGUGUAUAUGACUCUCUUCUUUCAUUCUUCUUUACAAAUCUUUGUUUGCACUUCUAAUUAUUGACUGUUGUUUUGUUUUGAUCUCUACGUUGCAUUUCUGCAUGCGUCACUUCUGAGCGGUGCAUGCACAAAGCAGACAUGAGGUCAUUCCCAGAACUGCUUCGUUUACAACUGUAAGCGCAAGCUAGAUUAAAGUGAUUAUAACAUUUUGAAUAUGGAUAUUUUUCUUGCAAAAACAUAUCACUUCGCUACACACGGCAUGUGUUCAUUCCCCGGAGCUGUGUGAGACACUUUUUUUAAUG